GACGACGAAGCUGCUGCCGACGACACCAGAAGACUCAGCGUCUCCUCUCCGGUCUCCGCCUCCGCCCUUGCCGACGACGAAGCUGCUGCCCGGUCUCCGCCUCAGCCCCUGCCGAUGACGAAAUUGCUGACUCUGAACUUAGCCUCCCAAUGAACCAAGUCAUGUCUACAGAGAAUUCAUCUAUCUCGCAAAAUUCAUACACUUCAAGUAGUGUGGUUGGUGAAAGCAAUGAAACUAAUAAUGAAGUGCAAGAACAAAAUGAAGGAUUUGAAAGCGUAGAAUUACAUUCAGAUGGUCAUGACACACAACAAAAUGAAGAAAUAGAAAAACAACAAGAGUUUCAAACUUACAAGAG